UACGUAGGGUGCAAGCGUUGAUCGGAAUUGCUGGGCGUAAAGCGUGCGCAGGCGGUGAUGUAAGACAGAUGUGAAAUCCCCGGGCUCAACCUGGGAACUGCAUUUGUGACUGCAUCGCUGGAGUACGGCAGAGGGGGAUGGAAUUCCGCGUGUAGCAGUGAAAUGCGUAGAUAUGCGGAGGAACACCGAUGGCGAAGGCAAUCCCCUGGGCCUGUACUGACGCUCAUGCACGAAAGCGUGGGGAGCAAACAGG
rnacentral:rRNA from 1 species